rnacentral:misc_RNA from 1 species
CCGAGUUUACAACUCCCAAACCCAUGUGAACAUUACCUUGACUGUUGCCUCGGCGGAUCCGCCCCGCCCUCACCGGUAAACCGGGACCAGGCGCCCGCCCGCAGGGACCCCUAAACCUCUGUUUCUAUUAUGUAAUUCUCCUCUGAGUGGAUUUAAUACAUAAAUAAAUCA